GGCACAAAUCCAUCAGCUUUACACAGCAGUGGGAAGGCCACAACUGGUCUCUCUGCCCAAACCUCAAUGUCCCUCUUCCAGAAAGGAGCAACACCAGUGCCUGAGGAGACCUGCAAACAUACAACCAGGGAAAGCUGAGCUGGCAGGAAGGAAAACCAGCUGACUUCAGGCUGCAGUUUGCUUGAACUUGCCCUGAACUUUGCAAAUAGAGGACACCUGACAAGAUAUUCAUUUACAUCUCCAGGCCUGAUUUUCCAACACCAACAUGUUGGCACAAGGAGUUAUCUCCUGGAAGCCCCCAGUGAUGUCUUGGAGCGUCCAUGUGAUCCAAGACCAAGAUGGUCCU